UGUUACCCAGGCUGGUCUCAAACUCCUGGGCUCGAGUGAUCUGCCCACCUUGCCUCUCAAACUGCUGGGAUUAUAGGUGUGAACCACUGCACCUGGCCAGGAGUUGUUUGUUUUUGGUGAAUGAAGAGUAAAGUAUAACUAGGGGAAAAGGGUAUAUGGUAAUAGAAAAGUCACUUUCUGACACUUAACUGAGUGUCCAGGAUAUACGUUUUUAGCAUUGAAUGGAAGCCUGGGUAAGUCAGACAAGUGGGGAACAUAGAAGAUAAUAAGUACACAAAUGUACGUAAAGUUAUAAAAUAGGGUGAGGAUAUGGUGAGGGGGUGGGGAGCUGUUUGAAAUACACUGGUGUGUGCUGGGAUUACAGGCAUGAGCCACCAUACCUGGCC